rnacentral:rRNA from 1 species
UACGAAGGGGGCUAGCGUUGCUCGGAUUCAUUGGGCGUAAAGGGUGUGUAGGUGGCGCGCUAAGUCGGGUGUGAAAUUUCGGAGCUUAACUCCGAAACUGCAUUCGAUACUGGCGUGCUUGAGGACUGGAGAGGAGACUGGAAUUCGAUGGUGUAGCAGUGAAAUGCGUAGAGAUCAUGAGGAAGACCAGUGGCGAAGGCGGGACGUCUCGGGCCGAUACUGACGCUGAGGAGCGAAAGCGUGGGGAGCAAACAGG